CAACCUGGUUAAACGCUCUAUAAGCCCCCUUCUCCACAUCCUCUAAACAAGUCUCGUGUUUAUCUUUACUCAAACCAUGUGCCUUAAACAAGUUUCUGCUUCGUUUGUAGCCGUUCACAAAGAUGCUGGAUGUUGCAUCUCGUCCAGGGAAUUCCGGACACGGCUGGAAAAUAAAGGAAAUGGUUUGUCCCUGUUUUUUUUUUUUCUUCGCCUUUGGAAUUUGUAAUGCGGCUCUGGGAGAAGGUUGAAGGGUGCGGAAUGAGGGAACAUAUGGUAUUGUCCCCUAUUUUCAGAAGAAGUAGUUUUCAACAGGAUGCGUCAGCUUUUGCAUUUGCCUUGUCAACUGUUCUAAAAAUAUCCCAAGACUGAAUUCCACAGAGCAAGCAGUGCUGACGGACGCUUCGGACACAGGCCUGGGCGCCG